rnacentral:rRNA from 1 species
UACAGAGGUCUCAAGCGUUGUUCGGAUUCAUUGGGCGUAAAGGGUGCGUAGGUGGCGCGGUAAGUCGGGUGUGAAAUUUCGGAGCUUAACUCCGAAACUGCAUUCGAUACUGCCGUGCUUGAGGACUGGAGAGGAGACUGGAAUUUACGGUGUAGCAGUGAAAUGCGUAGAGAUCGUAAGGAAGACCAGUGGCGAAGGCGGGUCUCCGUGGACAGUUCCUGACACUGAGGCACGGAAGGCCCAGGGGAGCAAAACGGG